rnacentral:rRNA from 1 species
UACGAAGGGUGCAAGCGUUGCUCGGAAUUAUUGGGCGUAAAGGGUAGGUAGGUGGUGGCAUAAGUCUAUAGGUGAAAUCCCUGAGCUCAACUCAGGACGUGCCUUAGAAACUAUGCUCACUAGAGUACUAGAGAGGUUCGUGGAAUUCUUGGUGUAGCGGUGAAAUGCGUAGAUAUCAAGAGGAAUACCUGAGGUGAAGACGGGUUGCUAGGCUGACACUGACGCUGAGGCGCGAAAGCCAGGGGAGCAAACGGG